ensembl:ncRNA Y76F7A.3 ncRNA
AUGAGUAUUGCGUGAAAAAGAGGAGGCAAGGAUAAGUGGUUCGCAUGAAGAUUGCCGGAAAAAGAAACGGAAGAAAACGUAUUAAUCGUCGU